UAGCAUAUAUAUAAAUAAGUAACAUUAACCCCAUAUCCAAAAAUUCGAACCUAUCCCUUGAGUAAAAUAAUCCAUUUAAAAAUUUCAAAAGAAUAUGAUAUAAAGGUACACAUCACAGCAUAAUAAUCAAUAAAGGAAACUUUGUGGAGGAUUUCUUUAACAACAGUUUGAACCCGAACCUAGCAGCAUUGAAAGAUCGACUGGAUAUACGAGAACAUCUUCCAGAAGCUGAGGAUCACAAAGACAGGCAGAAGGCGAUACUGGACGAUAUAUUGUCCGACGAUUAUGUCCAUGUGGACGAUUUACCGAAUUUUGGAUUCCUCCUUAACUCUUUAGGUUUAGGAGUUACAAGACAGGAAUCAAAUCAAAAAUAUUAUAUUUACCAUUUUUUUCUAUUUGAUAU